rnacentral:rRNA from 1 species
GGRGUAAUUYUAAACGGCCGSGGAAUUUUAACCGUGCUAAGGUAGCAUAAUCAUUUGUCUUUUAAUUAAAGACUUGUAUGAAUGGUUUAAUGAAAUAAAGCUAUCUCUAAAAUAUUAAAUAAAAAUUAUUUUUAAAGUGAAAAAUCUUUAAUAAAAUAAAAAGACAAAAAGACCCUAUAGAGUUUAAUUUAUCCGUAUAGACACAUAUAUAUAUAAAUUUAGUUGGGGCAACUAAUGAAAAAAAAAAUUUCUUUUAAAAAAAAAAAAUAAAAUCAUUAAUUUAAUACUAUAAAACAAAUUACCUUAGGGGUAACAGCGUAAUUUUUUUUAARAGCUCAAAUCGAARAAAAAAAUUAC